rnacentral:misc_RNA from 1 species
CUCUUUUUUUUUUGCAAUAGCAAUACCGAACAAACCCUAUAUCUGAUAUCCCAUAUAUCUUAUAUUCAUGCUUUCUGAUUUCUUAUGCUUCCCACACCCCCGAAACAAUGAAAGUCGUCCGCCUCUGCGUCCGGAGCGAACAGUGGUCCCUUUCACCUUCUGCCUAAGAGAUUUGUUGGCAUUCCAACAGAAAAGCCCACUGCAACCUCUGCUUGCUGAACUUGAUUCAUACAUCAGGCUUUCUUUGAUUGGAAUGCCCACAAAGUUGCUAUCAUUCAACAAGCUUGGAGAUAAUGA